rnacentral:lncRNA from 1 species
UGCAAUAUUAAAUCAGCUUUCUAUUUUAUUGAACAGGCGAUGACUGGCUUCUGAGUGAGAACUCUUAAGAGUGUGUUCGUUGAAGGUAGGGUGUUCAGAGAGUACUGAAGAUAAAAAAUCACCACAAAUACUUCAUGUACGAAUAAGGAGUUGAUUAAAGUGUGGUAUAUACACACAAUGCAAUAUUAUUCAGCCACGAAAAGGAAGGAAGUAUUUACACAUGCUACACUGUGGAUCAACCUCGAAAACAUUACGCUAAGUGAAAGAAGCCAGUCACAAAAGGUCACCUACUGUAUGAUUCCGUCUAUGUGAAAUAGCCAGAAUAGGUAAAUCUACAGAAACAGAAAGCAGAUUGGUGGUUGCCAGGGGUGAGGGUGUGGGGGUGGUAAAUGGGGAGUAACUGUGUAAGGGGUUUAGGGUUUUCUUUUGGGAUGAUAAAAAUGUUUUAGAACUAGAUGGAGGUGAUGGUUGCAUAGCAUUAUGAAUGUACUAAAUAUCACUGAAUCACUGACUUUACAAUGGUUAAUUUUAUGUUAUGUGCAUUUCAUCUCAGUUGAAAAGAUACUUCGGGGGAAAAAAGUACAAAAAAAAGACACCUGGAGCCAGCCCCGGUGGCCUAGUGGCUAAGUUCGGCACACUUCGCUUCUGCCGCCUGGGUUUGGUUCCCAGGCACAGACCUAUACGAUGUCAGUGACCAUGCUGUAGCGGCCACUCACAUAUAAAAAGAGGAAGAUUGGCAACAGAUGUUAGCGCAGGGCAAAUCUUCCUCAGCAAACAGAGGAAGAUUGGCAAUAAAUGUCAGCUCAGGGCCAAGCCUCCUCAGCAAAGUAAAACAGAACAAAGCAACACGAAACACCUGAGAAAGUUGACUUUUUAGGAAGCCUUCCUGACUAUAUAGUCUGGUCCUUUGGUGAGUUUUGUGAAGAAAGGCUCCCCUCUUCCCUACGUUUUUUUCUGCCUUUGUAGCCCCAUCUAACAUUUUGGUUUUCUGUACCCCCAAGAGUACUCAAGUUCUGUUUGAGUCACUUCUUUCAUUCAUUCACAAACUCAUUCAUCCACUUGGUGUCAAGGAGAAUGAUAAUUAAUGUGAUCCAAGACAGAGAACAGCAAGCUGAUCCUGCUGUGUAACUUUGACAGGCAUGUUAACCUCUCUGGUCUUAGGAAGACAUCAACUAGGUUACUUCUCAGGACUCUCAGUUUUAAAGUUCUAUAUUUAAGGAAUGAGAAAUGCAUUAUUAGGUUUCCUUUAAAUAUUCUACCAGCUAAUUUCUCCAAUUCUUUUACUUCGAAUUCAUUUAUCAAACUUAGUUAGACAGACAGAAAAAAAUACAUUACCCUUUGAAUUAGCCUGCUCUUUUUCAUCAGACCUCAAUAAUGAGGAGAAAAUUUAUCUGCAUGUCUGUGGCAAAACUUCUUUGACCAUGGGAAAGCUUUCCUCAUAUUUUUUAAGAUAAAAAUGCCAAAAACAUGUAACUGAUAUACUUUUAACAUUUGAAAAGCAUCAAAAAUGAUUUUUAUCUUUAAUUAUAAAGUGUAACAGAAAAAUAGACACUGCAAUAACUUAAUAGCCCAUCAAAACACUAUCUUCAAGGGUCAUUUAGCAUUUCCAUGAUAAAUUGCUAUUUUUAGAAGCUUAUGUAACCAAACAAAGAAUGUGUUCUUGGCUAUGGCCACGAAGACAAGUUAUUAUCGUGGGAGGGACAAAGGAAUCUGAGAGGCUCAUGAGAGACGGAGCCAGUUGUAGAGGACAUUUCAUAGAGUGCCCUUUCUCUUUAGUCUCCAUUUUCUGCGAUCAGGGUGAUGCAGUGCAUUUCAGUGCCAUUCUCACUUUUGAAGUGCUCUUUCAUCAUUAGCUAAUAAAUACUCAUCAAUGAAUUUUCCUCCUCGUCUUGGAAGUUGGAGGAAAAAGAAAGAUAAUCGCUUUCUAUCUUGUAAGUAUUACUCCCCUUGGGGCUUCCCCUCUUGUGCUUCUAGUAGAAACAUAAGAAAUAAAUUAUACCUACUCAUUUGAAAGGACCGAAGGGUACCAUUCCUUCCAUAUAGAGCACCUGGAAAUUUGCAUCAAAUAUUAAUGAUCUUCAGUAACUACCCAACUGUAGUAGCAGAAGGAAGGUCUGUCUUCCAUUACCAAGCUCUAUACUGUUUAGUGUCAUCUUGAGGAAGGAUGCCUUGGGGGAGUCUUCAUCAGGGAGCUGAGUAUGGUAGAGUUGGGCUGGGAAGAAUUGGUGUCUGUCUGAGCAGGAGCUCCCAAUGUACUUCGUAUCUCUAAUGUCCAGGGUCAAAAACUAAGGGUUUUGGAAUUUUCUAUUCUUUUGUAUUAUCCACACUUCUCCCCCAUGUCAUCUUAGUUCACUUAGACUUGGCUGUGAAUUUCACAGUUUCUGGUUGGUGAAUUGCACUACGCAUGCUUAAAGAUGCCCCUAGACUGUUCUAGCUGUGGAUGGGUUUUGAAGAAGACAAUCUGAUUUAUAGCAUAAGUAAUGUCUUACUGGGUGUCUGCUGCCUUGUCGUUGGUAGUAGUGUUAUCCAAUAGACAUAUAACGCAGACCACAAAUAUGAGCCGUAUAUGUAAUUUUAAAUUUUAUGGUAACCAUAUUAAAAAAGUAAAAAUAAACAGAUGAAAUUAAUAUAUUUUAUUUAACCUAAUAUAUCCAAAAUAUCCGAAAUAUUAUCACUUCAAUGUAUAAUCAGUAUGAGAAGUGUUAAUGAGAUAUUACACAUUUUUUUCACCAAAUCGAUGAAUUUUGAUGUGUAUUUUACACUUACAACACAUCUCAGUUUGGACUAGCCACAUUUUUAUUAUCAACAACCACAUUUCAUAUGCCUGGUGGCCACUGUAUUGGACAGGGCAGGUUUAUAGUUAUGGAUAGACAAUAUUUUAACAGAAAUUUUUAAAUUAAAAAGCAUUCUGAAUUAUUUACCACAAAGUGAAAUCCUGAUGUAAAUUACUGUAAGUUUUUUCUUCAAAGCUUUCUCUUUAUCAAGUAAAUUACCUCUUGUUUUUUCGGGAAUGAGGGGAAAUUAGAGGGUUCUAGCAUUUGCCAGCAGGGAAAGGCUUACUAUAUGUUUUCUCAAACCUACAAUUCGCUCGGGUGGUUAGCGUUGGUACUGGAAUUAACCACCGUAGUGUGAAUGAAUUACAAUCCCUCCCUCCCCAUUUUGCUUUAAGUCCUGCUGUACCUUGAGCUUGGAUCGAACUAAAAACCAGGAAAUGAUGUGACUGUUGAUGUCAGAUAGCAGUUAGGAUUUGACCGUGUUUCUUUGAGCUUAAUCCUAUAGUAGCUGCCCUUUAAGUGGUUUCCACAUACUCUUACUUUUUAUUGCCAUCAUCCUCUGAAAUAAUCUUUUGUGUUUAUUUUUAUGUGGUUGUGUUCCCAUGAAUAAAAAGGAUCCUUCUUAUACUUGUAGCUUCUCACCUCAGCUCAACUGACAGAAUUCUAAUGGGCCACAGCAGCAACCUAAGGACAUAGAGGCGCCAACGUGGCCACAAUGAACUCCCUUCUUGGGCUAAAAACCUCAUUUUUUUGGAGAACAGUAUCACAAAUAUUUGGUCAGUCUGUCAUUCCAUCAACUGGAACUUUAUUCCUUGGCGCUUCCACACAUUUACAGGGGAAUGAUCAUUAAUGUUGGUAAUUAUUUAUCUUUGGACAUCAACCAUGAGCAAAGCACUGUGGUAGGUGCUGUGAGAGAUAUGAAAAGGAAACAUCAUCCUCUCUGCCCCCAAGGUACUUAGCCUGAUGAUGCCGGUAAGCAUGAUACAUAAGAGUCCCAGUCAAGGUUCUAAAGGUUUGAGCAGAAGUAUCAGCAGGGUGCUCAGAUGUCCCUGAGGUCCUCUAAGAUAUAGGGAGCAAAUAUUUGCCAUGGCCUGUUUCGAGCCAGGAGAUUUACUAGAUGCCAGUGACAAUUAAGAGGAAGACAUAGUUUCUCUUCCUGAGGAUCCCCUAAUCUACUGUGAGAUGUGGGAAACACAACCACCUGCAGAGCCGUAUGAGAUAUGAUAUGAUAGAGAAAUAGAACAACUGAAACACAGACGAAGGAGAGACCAAGACCUCCAGUCCCAGUUGGGGUCAUAUCUUCAGAGGCAAUGGUGAUGGGGCUGAUUUUCAAAGCAGAAGUUCAGUGACAGGAAGAGGAGAGGAAAGCAGCCUGGUGAGAAAGGGGCAGGAACGAAAGCAAAGGUGGUCCUAGGGCUGGUGAGCCUUGGAGAAAAGUUGUAUCUGAGCAAGUUGCAUUCUCCCCAAAUCAUGUGAUUCUGUCUUAGGAUACUUGAUUCAAAUUAUGCCUGUGUAUGUUCUCUAGAGUUCAUGGAUGUUUAAAAAAUUAUUGUAAGUUACUAAAAAUGGAUAAUUUAAUUUUCGCUAUCAUUUAAAAACUCCCACAUCAAUGGCUAUUUUUGUUUCAUCAUUAUAAUAGAGAGGUGCCAUGUCAUGAUGGUUAAGAGCUGACUCUGGAAGCCAGAUUCAAAUCUCAACUCUGCCACUUAAAGCUCUGUGAUAGUUAGCACCUCUGUACUUCAGUUUCCUCAUCUGGAAAAUGGAAAGUAAUAAUAGCAUUUACCUAUGUUUAGUAGGUCAUUUUUAGUAAUAAAAUGAGUUAAGGUUUGGGAAGGGCAUGAAAUAGUGUCUUGUUCAUGGUAAGUAUCCUAAAUGAUUGUUAAAUCAAAUGAAUGCAAUACACAAACUUCUAGAGGCUUGCAAUGGCAAACAGCUUUCUGUGUGACUGGCAUGUGAUCAGGGCAGUGCUGAUUGUUUUUUUUGAGACAGUGAAUUUGCUUGUUGUCUAACUGGUCUGAAAUCAGUCCCUGAUAUACACUGACAUGAAUGCAGAUUGCAGUAGACACCCUUCUAAUAGGAUUGUAUGAGCUUUCUAUUUUAUUUUAGUACAUGCUAAAAACACUUUUAAUUGUUCUAAAUAUCUAAAUUAUCCACUUCAAAGAAUUUGCAUUUGAAAUAUCCAGAAAAGCAAGUCUCUUCUAAGAGAAUGUGUGAGGCUAUGUGUACAUCAACAUUGGAUCGUAUAUGAAAAUAGCACUUUUGUAGGUAAAGGUAACGUUGUCCCAUUGCAAUGAGUGAUUGUUUUGCAUUUAUGUAAAAAUUGCUUAUUAAGAAAAAAUCCAAACAGGCAUAAAAGUAAAGAGAAUAAUAUAGUGGCCGCUCACAUAUCCAUCAUUUAGAUUUUAACUAUUCUUUGGUUAAAGUAUUUUAAAGCAAAUUCCGGAAAUCAUGGCAUUUCAAUCCCUAAAUAUUCGAUUAGAAAUUUAGAGGUAUAUUUUCUUAUAUAGCCACAAUGCUACCCCACCUAACAGUAACCUGUCUUUGAUAUAUCCCAUCCAUAUUCAAACUUCCCUAUUUGCCGUCAAAUGGCUUUUUCAGUUAGUUUGCUUGAAUCAGGAUAAAAACAAGACCUACACAGUGCAUUUAGUUAUCAAGACUUCUUUUAAUCUAGGGUGGUCUGUGUCCCUAUGAGAGUUUGAGAGGGUUUUAUAGUGUGAUGGGCUCAAGGUCUGAGACCUAGGGAAGCCCUGUACAGGCCAGGUGUUGGGCUGUUACCUAAUUUGCCUCAGGUAGAAAAACUUUUGCCAACAAAGUUAAAUCAUAAUUAUCAUUCAACAAGUUUUCAUGUCCAUUAUAUGUAUUCUUGGCACUGGGCGAGGCACUGAAGGUCCAGAAAGACAUGAGACACGAUCCCUGGGCUCAGAAAUCAGGCAGAGAGUGUCUGCUUUUUGACCACGAAAGUUUCUGCUGCAUGACCCACCAGAGGAUGUGAUGUUGCAGUAGAGGGAGGAGUGUGGCUGUCUCCAGGGAACCAGUCAAAGUGCAAUGCUGCAGAGUCCUGCUUAUGGCUUUUCUUUACAGUGUUGGAAUACACCAGACAACUGAGACUGCUGGCAAUUUUAAAGCCCAGUCAGAAAGGUGCCUAGUGAUUAGAGACAGGAGAUUCUGCCCUCCAUGCUAACACCCUCUCCCUUAGGGACGUACUGUCUGAUGUCAUAUUCCUUGGUCAGUAUAAAUUGUGUCAAGCCUCCAUAAAUAUGCCAAGUACUAGAUAUCAUUUGAAAAAUGGUUAAUGUCUCCCAGGAAGUAGCAUUCUAAAGGAAAAUAUAUACAAAAAAAUUUUUCCCCUUAUAUUUUCUUUAAUUAUGUCUUCUUCCUAAUUUGGAAGGAAUUCUUGAAAGUGAUGAGUUUACAGGGAAGAAAGGAGAAAGUCUUUUUUCUCAGGAAUAUGUGUAUUAGGGAGACAAAUGCCAAAGCUGGACCAAAACAGCACGGAGAGAAGCCUGGGGGGCAGGAAGGGCUCUGGACUGAGAAAUGGAAAGCCCUGGAGCUGAAGUCCUCGCUCUUCACUUACAGUUAUUUUAAAUUGAGCAAGUCACCAAACUUGCUUAAAAUCAGUUUUCCUUUCUAUAAAAUAACAAUGCCUUUUUCAUACGGCCUGUAAUGAAGAUGAAAUAAAAGAUGAUAAUUUCAAAACUUUCUAGACUUUGCAGCCCCCUUACAAAUAGGAAAGGAGUAUUAUUAUUACGGCCAUUAGGAGGAGGAAACCUGUCUGAAUUCUUUGGAAGAACAAAUAUUUACGAGAGUACUGUGUGGAUCAGAAGAUGGUGAGCCAAGGUCCUUGGAACUCAGAAUGAAGAAUGGUUCAAGACUAUUUAUUUAUUUAUUUCCAGAAUAAAGAAUGAAGUAUUUUUAAAAAUGAUGUAACUUUGUCUCAAUCUCUAUCAGUGUAGUAGCAAGAAUAAAAUUAACCUGACGUGUUGAGUAGGCUAAAUUCAUUCCGUGGCAGUGUUAAUGAGGAAUGCCUCUGCUUCAGUAUAAAAUAGAGUUAUAAUAAUGAAAAAUUGGCUUAUUGAGUACAGGUAUACACUACUGGGUCUUCUAUAAAGUUGAGAAGUCAGUGAACUUGUAGCUAUAUAGUGUAUUGAUUAUUUGCACAGAAAUUAUGACUUAAAUGCUAGUGGGAGAAAGAAAGGGGAGAUUUGACUAUUUGACCUUCAUACAACUGGGAGUCAGAAAACUUCAAGAGGGCGUGACAGGGAGACGGAUUUCAGAACCAGAGGAAGGUGUGAAAAGUGUAAAUACAACAGUCAAAUAUCCUCUGGGUGCCUUAAAACUAAGCUGGGGGACAAUUUUGUUUUUGUUAGUAUUCUGGGUGCUCAAUCUGUGGUAAUUACAAUAUAUGGCAAUGUAAAACUUGCAUUGAUGCCAGCCCCCUUCGAUGUUCUAGGUAUUCUUGGAUGGUCAUUAAGUAAACCAAGCAUAUGCUGGUAUGUUCAGCUGAGCCCUUCUAGAAUUUCCAACAGAAAGCCAUUGAAUUAGGUGAUGAAGGUGGAAGGUAAAGAAGUAUCAAAUAAGAGGAGUGGUGAAAUUCAGAGUAACAAGGAUUGCUUGUAUAACAGCACAUAAGAUGCCUUUAUUUUAAUGGUGUAUCUAAACUAUAGGAUGAUUUAAACACUUGGCAUGUUAUGACUACAUCACUCUCCACCACGAAAUUACCAUUUCUAUUUCUUUAGUAUCAUCUAUUUUUGUAUCAUACAUUUUAUUUAUUGAGCACCUACUAUUCGGGAGCACAGUGUCAGGUGUAUGUGAGGGAACAGUCUUCAUUCGUCAAUGGCAGAGUGAGAUCAAGCAUGAUUAAAAACUCAACAGUAACCAGGGGUGGAUAAUUACUAAUGCAUUAGUGGCAAGUGCCAUUUCAGACGAAUGGGAAGAGGAAUGACGCAGAUAGUUUUUGCUCUGUCUCUUUUCUGGCAAUAUGAUUGUCACAUACUCAGGCCUUGCAAGGAUUCCAAGUUGUAAGUAUUGAGGGUAUCUAGUGAAUUAGAGACGUUAAUCAGUUAGCUGUUCCAUCCUGUGUCUCUAGGACUUGGACACUCUCUUUAGAUCUCAUUGCCAGACAUGUAAAAAACUGCCCUAAGACAUGAUCCUAAGACUUCCUCAAUAGAAUAUGAUCCCUAUGAGGGCAGUACUGGGGUCUAUCUUAGUCGCAACUGCAUCUCCAGUCCCUCACAUUGUGUCUGAAACAGAGUGGGAAUUCGGUAAAUAAAAAACUUUAUAUUUGUUGGAGAAAGAUCUUCCCUGAAACAGAAAAUUCCUUUGAAGCUUAAAUGUAUAUCACAAAGCUCUGAGGCCAUUAGAUGAAGUCUGAAAAAGAAAUGAGCACUUUUAGAAUCACUACAUUUCUUCCGAUGGACAGUAUAUCCCUCCAUCACAAGGAGCACCCAUACACAUAUGCCUACGCCCGUGCAUACCUACGUAGACUCACGUCUGCCCACUUUUUGGUCCUCUGAGCUUUUUAAUCUAGUUUAGAAAAAGAAAGGAAAAUGACAUGAAUUGAAAGUUGUACACUGUAGGCUUUAGACCUUAAAAGACAGUAUAUCAUCAGAGAAAUAAAUCCUUUCUUCUGAGACUGCCUGUAAUUUUUUUUGGCGAGUUCUCACUCUCCUUUUGCAACUUUCCCUCUUCCUUAGAGGAUUCUUUAAGUUCUAUCCAUCAUCUCAUUUACUGAAAUGUACCUCAUUUGGGAAUGAGAACAUUUUGGCAUAGCUGAGAGCUUUUAAUGGAAAUAUGAGAGAAGACAUUUCUGACAUAUAUAAUACCUUCAAUAUGUUGCCAUAUAUUGCACCAUCUCUGAUGCGUUACCCGAGAUGCAUAACGACAGAUGGGCCGAGGAACGAGAAGGAACACUCCCCAAGUGGGGAUUUCUUUAGAAACCAAAACUCCUUCCAAGGUGCUUUGAGCUAUUCUUAGCAAUUGGGGUUCAACACAUUCACCCCCAACAGAAGCAAAUGUCUGCCAAGAGGCUGCCUGUGGGAGCUUUGUUGCCUAGCAUUUUUCUCCAAACAAGAGUCAAGCCAGGCAGCGUAGUCUUAGACUCAGGGAAACCUAGAGCCAGAGCAUUGAGUCCCUGUUUUCAGGUGUGUGACUGUGGUCAAGUUACCUGACUUCUUCGAACCUAUGAUUCUUCAAUCAUGUAAUGGGGCUGAGAAGCAGUUUCUGUUCCAAACUCUGUAAUAAGCUAUGAGAAUUUUUUACAUAGCGGUGGAGAUUAUGAAAUUUUCAGUGUUCCUUACAGUUCUUUUAUGUAUCUGGAGUGGAAAUAUUUAGGAGGGAUGUUUCUUUUCCUUUUUUGUUUCACCCAAACCUAAUCUAAUCACUCGAUGACUCAAAUUUUUCCUCGAAUGCAAACCACACAUUCCAGGAUAAUGCAAAAUUUCAUUUUGGGGUGAGAGGAGUGAGCAAUAAUGUGAUUUGACCAUGUAUUAUGGGGUUAAGAAAAUUUAAAAACCAUCUCAAUGAAGAUACAGUUUUGGUAUCAAUAGCUGUACAGUCAUUAGCAAUGUUUUACUGUAUAGCCACUCUAAGAGCAUCUUUCUCCUUCUCUUAUUUUCUUUUUCUUUUUCGUACCUUGUCUGUCCCAUGCUAUAACACGGUCUGAGCGAGUGCAUAGAUCUGAAUCUAUAAAAUAUUUUAUAUGCUCUCUUUCUUAACCAUGUUCCUUGAGCUUGAGUUGUUUAUCAGAAUCUGCUUUUUUUUCUAACCAUCUUUUUGACUUGCACACAGUUUAGUUGCCUGUUUUCACCACACCCAUACGUUGUGCUGACAGGGCCUUGUGUUUUUUUCAGCAUAGUUUUCCCAUCUGGGGCGUGUGCUUGUUAUUGUAGUAGGAUAGAUAAAAUACCUACGUAAAGACGUAUUCGGGCCAAACUGAGCGUAUUCCCAGAUUUAUGGCUUGUUAGAGUAGGAGGGAACUGAGAGGUCUUUGGAGCCAAAACCUCAGCUUUGCAGAUGAGACAAGAGGGACUUAGAGAAGGGACUUUGGGGCAAGAGGGACUUACACAAGAGGGGCUUCCUGGGCAUUAUGGAGCUCAUGAUUCAUCAGGGGAACAAAUGCCUUUAGAAGGGAACAGCUACCAACAAAAGAAACCCUAGACUGUCUUCCUGGGUUAAUUUAGAAUUCUUUACUGGCAAUAACUAGGGCCAUUGGAAGUACAGAAAAUUAAACACAUUAUCUUGUUUCUCUGAACUAAUAAGAAUAUUCUUCAAAUUGGAAAAACAGUAUCCUUUUGCAGAUUGCAAAUCAGAAGACAUCUAUCCAUAACAGGCAGCUUUACUGGAUGUUCAAAUUUCUUUUGAAGGUGUACAGUAGGUAUGACUACAAAUAAAAUUUUUCCUGUUUUGCAUCCUUAAUGUGCCUACCAUGCUGACCACCCCCUAUCACUCACUGCCUACCUUCCCUGCCUCCGCCCCUGACUCCAGCCUAAACACCCAUUGCAAAGGCAUCCUCAUUGCUUGUUUUCAGCUGGCUUUUGUUCUGGUCUCAUGUCAGCCCAUCUCCGAAUGCUUGGCUUGGCAACCUUAAACUCCAUUUCUGCCUGUGGUUCUUAGACUUGGUGUUUGGCCUUGGUCUCCAUGGAGUUUGAAUUUUGUUCUGUUCAGUAGAUGAGGAAACAAAGGCUGAAUGAGAACAGCAGCAAGUCUGAGCUUGCAAGGGGAGGCAGAAGCUCUUCUAGUUGGGAUUUCUUGAUACAGGGACCAUUCCAUUCAUCACAGAAUCACACUGACAAGAUGUGAACACAAAGGGAGGCUCUGCUAUGUCAAGGACCAGUGAGUAUAUUCUGAGCAGAUUGCCUGCCUUAAGGAAUAGUGUCCUUUACCAAUACCGGUGAGAGGCAUGGGACUUCCCUCAAAGGAACACCCUACCACAUGUUCAGAACUUGCCAUUUUCGGAUUCUCGGCCACUCAGCAUUCUCCAGCCACUCUCUACUCUUCUUCUUCACUGAUCUUAUUGCCCAUACCCGUGGUGCACACACCUUGCUCCUCUGAGCAAGCACACUAUUCACCUUCUAUGACCUGGGUUUCCCUUCUGACUUUACUUUUGUUUCUCCUGAGCAGUUUGAUCACCAAGCUUUCAGUUAAUAAUCCCUUUUUCACUUCUAGAAACUUCUUCCCGGACACCUCCCAUUCAGGCAACAUUUCACUCCACUCCUUUUGGAUGGAUUCAGGAAAGUGUAUAAAUUGUUCCUGAAUCAAGCAAAUUGCAGAUACUCUUUAGAGUGAAGAUGCUGGUGUUCCACAUCCAAUUGCUCUCGUCUUUCCAAGACUGUGGCACUCCAGGAAAUCUUCCCUACUGAAGGGGGACCACGAGCUACAGUAUCUCUUAGAUGAAAUCAACCGGCUCAGUCUGGGUCUCUCUGUCUGUGUCACACCCAACAUGCUGUCCUCAUGGCUGGAGAGUCAAUCAAUACUCCUUAAUGGUGCAGCUCAUUGCCCUGCACUGAGGAAGCAUUGCAAACUAAAAGGAAGAAAAGUAACAAAGAACUUGAAGACUUUCAUGACUCCCAGGCCCUGGAUGGAGGCAGGCGGCACCAGACAGACAGAACCAAGAAAUCAGAGGGGCAGCCAGGAGGUGCCUGUGGCUGCAGAGCCCAGAAUUGUCUUUGGAAAAGAUUGAGAAGAGCCAGUAAACUUGGCUUCCUAACUUCUGCUUCUCAUCCCCAUCAGCAGAGAGAAAUAAUGACUCCCGAAUCAUUUCAGAAUCAAAAAGUUAAAACGAUGUCUCAAUGAUGCUACAUCAUGCCAGACACGGGCGAAUGGUUUGAAGAUAUUGGCCUAGCAAGAUGGCAACGGGUUUAAAAAAUUCAUAAGAUUCAUAGGAUUCAUAAGAAGUUACUUUUUUCAGGUAAUGGUAUUUUCCUAUAAUUUCCCAAACCUUCCAUUUCCUCAAGUUUUGCAAAUUUUUAGGGCCUGCUUGAAUGAUUUAAUUAUGAAGAAUAACUGCACUUUAAACUUGAUUUGUAAAAAUAGCAACCAGUUUUAUAAUAUUCGUAGCCAAUGAGUAGAGCAGCCAUGGCAUUCAAUUCUGUGGAGUUCAGAAAAUGUUUUGAAAGUUAUUACUUAACAGUGCUUAUUUCUUUUGACAAUGAUUUAGGCAGAACUCAUGUGAAACUAUCGGGCACUGUCCAUAAACUCUGUGACUAUCUUGGGUAAUUGAAUUUAAAAAUAUGAGUAUUAGAGGAUUGUCUCUAAAAAGCCUACCAUGUGCCCUGAAUUCCUGGAAGAUAGGUCUCAUAUAAAUUGCAUAAUAACAAUAAUGGUGUUUUAACUUUCAGCCUAGAUUGGUAAUACUAUAAGGCAUUUUAUGGAACUAUACUUAUACAUGUGCAGUAACUACGAUUUGAGCUCAGCUAUCAUGAUAUAGGUAGUUUUCUUUUAGUAUUCCUAAAGGACUUUGUGCCGCUUAAAAAUGUUUGAUAACAUAAAUGAUAUAUUUUCUUGAUAAAUUACUUUACACUGCUUUUGCUAUUGUUUAUAGGCAUUAGCCUACAUUUUCCAACUUAAUUAUUAGUGUUACCAUGUAAGAGAGCCCAACAGAAUCUUGGUUAAUAAGGCAAGCCAAAAUUUCCUCUGAAAAGAACCCUUAUUUUUUUCCCCAACACAAAGAAGGUUCUUGAAGGAGGCAUCCAAUUAAUAUUUUUGGGAAAAUACCUACUCCCAAACAAACCAUUUUUCUGCUAGGUCAGUAUUUGAUUUUCUUUUUUUUCUGCAGCCUAGGCAUCUUCUAAUUUCUCUUUUAUUUUCUGAAAUUAAAACUGGAUUGUUUAGAAGCUAACACUACAAACCAUUUGGAAUGAAUAACUUCUCUGUCCUAAAUUUGCCCAAAAAAAGAUACAGAGAUGGCCCCAAUUGAAACACAGCAUUGACCUCCUUUCUAUGGACUUCAAGGGUGCAAAUACAUGAAGGAGGUGCUACUUGAAUGUAAAUGUGACACUUUGACAGAUCUUUGUCCAUUGCUAACAAAUAUUGUGUUCUAUCUUUUUAAUAAAUAUGAUAAUGACAAUUAGUUCUCAUGACUUUGGAAGCCUGGGCCUAUUCCUUCCCAUUUUAAUAAGAGCGCCUACAUCUCACGUGUUCCAGAAAUCUUUAACAGUGUUCAAAGUGCCCAUCCUCAAAUACUUCUGGCUCCAGGCCUUUGUCAGAGGGAUCAAAGGAAAAGAGACUUGAAGUUCAUUUUAAAAUUUUUUAUUUUAGAAAGGAAAUGAACAUUUAUAAAUAAAAUAAAAUAAAGACCAUUUUGAGGUGACUGGUUUGGAUCCAUUUACUUCCACUUGCUAUUGUUGUUUCUUUGGAUCUAAAAGUCAAGCCACGGAGCUGCAACUAAGUUCUUGGUUUUGGCACCCUUCACAGCGCCAGGCGGCUCCAAGCAAUUGCAGCCACAGCUCAGUCCUGAUGAAACAGGCGGCAGUGAAGUGUUGAUGAGCAGUUGCGUCUCAGCCCCUAUUCAUUCUUUUGUUGGUUUCCCGUUCUCCUGCUUUCACCUUUCACCUUUGUGUAUAUAACAGCCUCCUCUUUUCUCUGAAUAAUUCCCAAAUUUGGCUCUUUUUUGUUGUUAGUAGAGUCUCCCAGAUUCUUGAGAACGGAAUGAAUGUUCAUAUGUCGAGGCAAAGGAGAUAAAGUUUUUGUGAGCUAGGAUCUAUAGACAUUGCUAACAAAAAUUGAAAAGGUCUCUUUUUAGGUCCUGCAAAGAGCUGGAGGCAUAUGUUUUUCCCAGUGUCUAGAAAGGGGGAAUAUUUUGCUUUUCAUCAUGCAUCCUUGAAGUACUUAUGAUUAAGACUGUCUUCAAUACAAUUCACAAAAGGAACCAUUAAUGAAAGUUCAUUGUCUUGGAUGUUCCAUUCUUACAAGUGAACAUUGGUUUUGAAGAAAGGAUUUUAUGUUGACAAAUUAAAUCCUUUUAUAAGAAGACCUCAGAAACAGAUUCAUUCCUACAUCCUGGAGCAAUUUCGGGGGAAGAAAUUAUACAAUUUCUUUUCUGGUUGAAGUUUUAUAAAAUAUGCCCUAACUUGCUCAUUGUUGGUGUUUGGACCAAUAAUGAGGGUGGGUAUGAGGGUGGAGUGCAAACAUAAAUACAAACUUUUCCUGAAGAUGAAUCUUUCAAUGUAAUAUAGCUGGAAAUGUCCUCUAGAAUAGUUUUCAGAAAAUGCUAGCCUAUUGGAGGUGUUUUAUUCCAGCUGUUUUCCAGAAUGCAAAUAGAAAGGAAAAGUUCACCAUCCCUUUUCAUGUAAUUACAGGUAUUUAACAAAAUGAGGGGCCCGCCGGCUGGUGUAGUGGUUAAGUUUGUGCCCUCCACUUCGGCAGCCUGGGGUUCUCUGGUUCAGAUCCUGGGCAUGAAUCUACACACUGCUCAUCGAAGUCACUGUGUGGUGACCUCCCACAUACCAAAUAGAGGAAGAUUGGCCCAGAUGUUAGCUCUGGGCCAAUCUUCCUCAAUCAAACCAAACCAAACCAAACCAAACCAGAACAUGAAUUUUGGCUGUCAUGUUUCCCUCUCUCUCUGCCAACAAUUUAAAAAAUUUUCUUUAUCCUGCUGAUUUGCAUACGAUAUCACUUUGCCCUGAUGUGUGUUAAGAACUGAAUAAAUGAGUCUUCUGUAGUAUUAAAUAGUAAAUGACAAGGUUUACCUAAAGCUCACUGUACCUGUGGAGUAAGUGAAAACAAAGGGAGAUGUGUGGGGGAGAACAGAGAAGAUGCAGGAUGAAGUCUUUCCAUUUCUGGCAUAAAACAAUAGAAUGGCAGAACCUUUGAUUGGACUAAUGAUUUUAACGUUUUAUUUUCAGACAUGUCAAACCCCCAAACGAGAGAAGAUACUGAGGCCUGUUGCCACAAACCCGUAGAUCCGAACUUGUGGUGAUAGUCCACACAAGCUUGUGUCUAUAGGUAUGUGUCUGUUAGGCAAUCUCACAGACCGCGGGCUUUGGCUGUAUGCCACUCAAUAUCCCUUCAAAUACCUUUAUUCUCCCUUUCUUCCCCUUAGUUUGCUUUAAGAGUGGUAGAAAUGGAAAGAGGGGCUGACAUGGAGGAAGGAGAACUUUUGAUCUGAAAUGGAUGAGGUUCUUCGAUGAUUAAUUUAUAGGCUUGCCUUCAACUUCCUUAUCUCUUAUAACUACUCUGAGCCGUCAAAUUAAGAGACUGGGCUUGCAGGUGAGGCGGCAAGAAUUUCUGUGACUCAGACAGCUUACUGUUGAGUGAUGAGUAAAUUGAUACAUAAACAAGGGUUUGUUUUGUUUUCUGUAAGCCUGACUAAUGGUUUUCAGAGUUAUUAUGAUCUUUUUUGGAAACUGACAGAGACGUGUUUUCAAGACCUGUUUCACCCUAGUUUGAGUUAUACCUUACAGCAAUUCUUCCUCACUCAUUGCUCUCCAAGCGCAGUCAAAUCAGUCCUUAUCUUUAAAAAUAAAACUAAUGAGAGGAAUGAAUGUGCUUAACUAUUUAUCCUUCUAUAAAUACCCAGCACUGUAAGAAAAAGAACUUUUUAUAAAAAAGAAUUAGCCUGUUUAAGUCCAACUUCAUACUUGGCCAGGGCUGUUUUAUAAGUCUUCACCAUGUUUAAAAGGCUGGAAUGAAAAUAAUUUUAUCCCCUUGCCUCUUAAAUGUCACCAUUGUGCCAGGAUUGGAAAGCCAAACUGACUAGAGAUCAAAGCAAAACUGGCUGUAUUUGUCUCAUUCCAACAAUGUGAGCUGAAGAGUCUGUAAACAGAACCCAGGGUGAAAAGUUGAUCAGAUUUGGAUAACUCUUAAACUUUUGCAUUCCCUUUUGGUCAAACAUAGUGCCAGGAAUUCUCGUAAGAUUUUUUUUUUCUAUGCAGCCUCAUCUAGCAAAAAGAGUUCAAUAUGAAGUAGUUAUUGAGUUAACAUCAGCAAGAAGUUUGAAACUCAAGUAGAUACAUUUUAUUUCAUUAAAUUCUGUUUCCUCUUAAGAGCCAUGCUGUUCAGGGAUAGCUAGAACUCUUUCGUUCAUUGAGUAUAUAAAAUGCAAUUUUGUUUGUUGGAAUUAGCAAGGCCCAGAUAGAGAUCACCUACGUUUAAAGGGUAGAAUCAAGCUCUGUAGAUGCUGCACCCAGGGGAUAUUGUGUAUAUGCAUUUCCUUUGCGUUUCCCCUGCAUAGCGUUGAGGAGGGUUGUCUAUACAUCUCAACUUUCAGCUUGCCAAGAAAUCAUUGCUUUACUAUGGAAUGAUGGACCUUUACAUCCAGAAGAGAAAGACUGUCUCCACUGGUGUGUAUCAUGUAUUAUUGUUUGCCCAAGGCCUUUAUCCACCCAUUAAGCAAAUAAUCUACUUGGUUGGUUUGACAUGCCUCUUUGAAGUGGUUGACUUAGAAUGGAUAAGCUGCUAACAAAUUAAACUUGUACCUUCCCUGGAUAAACACUUGUGUUUGAUAAAAGCAAAAUCACGUCUCUACUCAUCAUCCCUUCAACCUGUUGUUAAGUGUGCUACCAGUGGGACCAAUGGAGUUCCUGAAUCUAAGGGGACACUGAGCUGCCUGUAUUCCCUGUACAGGGACAAAACAAGGGCUGCAGGAUGGCCAGUAGGUGACUGCCAGGUUGUUACUUUUAAAGAGGUUUUUUCUUUUAAAGAGGUUUUUUAAACCCAUCACCCCAAGCAAAAAGAUUAUGCAGAACAGUCAAUCUUUUCAAAGUUUCUAAAAGAACUAAGACGUUAUUAUUUGAUUCACCUGGCUAGAAAAUAUUCUAGUGGAAAGCCCAAAGCCUCUGGACCCUGGCC